rnacentral:sRNA from 1 species
AAAAGUUUAUCCACUUCGUCGUUUACCGCUUUUGCUCGUUCCACUCCGAGUUUCCUUCUUUUCUGUUUUACAGGCUUGAAGCUCGGAUCCACAUUCAACUCGUGACAAAUU